rnacentral:rRNA from 1 species
UACGUAGGGCGCGAGCGUUGUCCGGAAUUAUUGGGCGUAAAGAGCUCGUAGGCGGUUUGUCGCGUCUGCUGUGAAAACUCGAGGCUCAACCUCGGGCUUGCAGUGGGUACGGGCAGACUAGAGUGCGGUAGGGGUGACUGGAAUUCCUGGUGUAGCGGUGGAAUGCGCAGAUAUCAGGAGGAACACCGAUGGCGAAGGCAGGUCACUGGGCCGCAACUGACGCUGAGGAGCGAAAGCAUGGGGGAGCAAACAGG